UACGUAGGGUGCGAGCGUUGUCCGGAAUUACUGGGCGUAAAGAGCUCGUAGGCGGUUUGUCGCGUCUGCCGUGAAAGUCCGGGGCUCAACUCCGGAUCUGCGGUGGGUACGGGCAGACUAGAGUGAUGUAGGGGAGACUGGAAUUCCUGGUGUAGCGGUGAAAUGCGCAGAUAUCAGGAGGAACACCGAUGGCGAAGGCAGCUGACUGGGACGUGACUGACGCUGAGACGCGAAAGCGUGGGGAGCAAACAGG
rnacentral:rRNA from 1 species